AUGUGAUAGCCAAUCUUCUUUUGGCAGUCACAUCGUUCCCCGAAACCAGCAUCCAUGCAUCUUUCCUCUUACUCCUCUUGACAGAUUCUUCCAUGGCUUCAACGAUUGAAGGAAGAA
rnacentral:sRNA from 1 species